AGGCAGUGGAGAGCUAUUCUGAAUUAUGGGCAAGUCUUGUUGGUUAUUAUGUUAUUGUUGUAUAAGCAUAUUUUGUAUGAAAUGAAAUGUUGUCAAUGAAUCGAAAUGGAUAUACUAUGUAAAAGUGUUAGAAGAUCUCUCUUAUUUGGAAUUUCAGAAUGUUAAGUCUAAUUUAUGAUGAUAUGAACUUGUGGUGAAUAGUUGGAGUUCUGAUUGUAUAAUUUAUUUAGCUUGUGGAUUUAUAAAUGUUGUUCAUUUUUGUCAAGUUGGCUUGGGUUGCCAUAAAUGUGAAUUAUCGAGUGAUGUGAUAUAUGAUUAUAAACUGCACAGGUUUUAUAGAUGUGAAUUUGAUAGAAUGUUUUCAGUGUCCUCAAAUGUGUGUUUGGAUCCUGGAUUGGUUUGUGUUGAAAAUUUUAAUAUCAUAGAUAUUUUGAGGGGCGUGACAGAUCCCCUAAAGAGAUCAACUCCAAGUUUAGAAUCUGUAAGGGUUCUAUCACCUGGUAUCAGAGCAGCGUUCUUGGUGUCUUGUUGCCCUUCCACAUCCAUCCAUCAGCCCUCUACAGCUGCCCAAAGCAAUUCCCAC
rnacentral:lncRNA from 1 species